UUUGCUUGGAUUUUUGUCACCUUACCUUAUCAAACUGCUGGAAUACGCUGUUGGGGGUUGCCACAUCACUCCACAAAUAUUGUUUGCUGUAUACUGGUGAACAUUUGGCCACAUUCAACAGUUCCAGGCAGAAAAGGGAAGAAGUGGG